rnacentral:lncRNA from 1 species
AUUAUUAUAAAAUAUAUUAAUUCUUAGUUAUUAGAUUUAAUCUAAUGACCGACGAAUACAAAAUAUUUGUCACUUUUUUUUACCUAAAUUGUCCUCAAAUAUAAAUAUAAAAAUUAUCUAUCUGAUAUAAUAUAAAUAAAAAUUAGUAGGCACAUAUAUGAUAUAAAAUAAAUUAUUUUAUAAGUAGCAUUUGUAGUAUAAUGUUCCUUUUAAUUUGUAUUUUGGUCAUUUAGUAUUUUUUUCUGUAAAACUUAUAGCAACAAAAAGCUGGGUUGCACAUUGUGGGGAAGAUUUGCUGAAAAACUUCAUACUUAUAAACAAGUAGGGGAUGAAGGCCCUGUCAUAAUUAUAAUGCAAUGCAAUGGUGCAACAUAAAAGAUUUUGCAGGUAUCUUAUUUAUUCAAACUUUGGAUAUUAUUUACAUUCUUACUAAUUAUAUUAAUUAUUGUAUAUCUAUGGGCAACAUAGGUACACGUAAUAUGUCAAAUUCUCUUUAUGCAAUCAAGAUAAUGAUCAAUACUGAUAUAUCAGAAAUAUUGGAAUUCAAAAAUAAGUAAGUUAACCAAUAAUCUUAUUAUUAUUUAUCAAUAAUGAUCAAUACUGAUANUUAUUGAUAAAUAAUAAUAAGAUUAUUGGUUAACUUACUAAUUAUAUUAAUUAUUGUAUAUCUAUGGGCAACAUAGGUACACGUAAUAUGUCAAAUUCUCUUUAUGCAAUCAAGAUAAUGAUCAAUACUGAUAUAUCAGAAAUAUUGGAAUUCAAAAAUAAGUAAGUUAACCAAUAAUCUUAUUAUUAUUUAUCAAUAAUGAUCAAUACUGAUAUAUCAGAAAUAUCAGAAAUAUUGGAAUUCAGAAAUAUUGAAAUAUUAUUUAGUUAACCAAGAUAAUGAUUAAUA